ACAGACAAGGGCGUGGUGCUUCUGGUGAACUCAGGAGGGACACCCAUCCCAGUCCAAAGGGAGGACCAGGGAGGGAGUGUCUGUGAUGUCACAGGAGGGUUCCAUGAGCAAUAACUUAUAAGCUGAGACCUGCAGGAUGAACAGGAGUUAGGUGAAGAGGAGAACGAUGUCCAGGCAGGGGCCGGGGAAGCUCGUGCCAAGGCACUGAGGGGAAGUGCUGCAAUGAACCUCAGAGGCUGGAUCUUGCUGACUCAUCUGGGGUACCAAGGACAGACAAAGGACAUGGAGUCCAGGCCCAGGAGGCGAUACCAGGCCAGCAGUUUCACUGAUGCUCCUGUCAUGACGAUGACUGCCUCCCUCCUCCCCUUGGUCCCUGACUCAGUGUCUGCAGUGACCAGGCACCAGGCAGGGAGCAAGGAACCAAGCCUUUCACCUGCUCCCACCAACUCCUAUGGUGCUCCCUUUCCAAGGCUAGGUCUCCUCUCCACCCAGUUCCUUAUCACGUACCAUGAGAAGCUGUCACCUUGGCAACUGUCACCUUCUGGUGAGAUUUACAAUUGCACUGCUACAACUGCUUGUGGCAUGGUAAAGUUGCACCAGGACCUCUGCUGUCCAUGAGAUCAAAGUUCCAGGCCAAGGUGAGCACCCGCCUCCAUCCUAGAGAGGAUUCUGUGAGAAUCAUUGAGAGGGAGCUACUCUCUCCAGGCAAUCACGGGGGUGAGAAAGAAAAAAAAAAAGAGAGGGAGUUACUCAUGUACUGACUUAUUCAAUGAAUGCUUAUGUUGUAAUACCUACUAUGUGUCUGGUGCUGUUCUAGGCACCAGGGGCACGAACAGUGUUGCCCGCAUGGAACUCACACUUAAUGGGAGCGGCAGCCAACAGUUUCCGCUGGUCAAGAAUCUGAGGCUGUGUGUCUGGCUCAGGGGCUCUCAGGAGACAGUCAUCAAGCUACUGGCUUAGAAGCACCUCAAAACUCUGCUGUGGCUGGAGGGAACCAUUUCCAGGCUCACUCAUGUGACUGUCGGCAGGCCUCAGAAGACCCACUGCAAGCCCACUCACUGGGUGCUGGCAGGCUUGCGAUCCAUGGCACGACUUCCGUAGGCUGCCUAAGUAACCUCGUGACAUGGCGGCUGGUGAAUGGAGAGCAAGAGACCACACCAAGUCUGUUUGUAUAAUAACUUAAUCUUGGAAGUGACAUCUC
ensembl:lncRNA FLJ40194 uncharacterized FLJ40194